rnacentral:ncRNA from 1 species
GACGCGCAUCAGGAGUUGGGCCGGCGCCCAACGCCAACCUGCCUUCCCGGGCAAGGUGGCGCCUCCGCAAGGAGGGAUGCGGCCGUUCCGGCAACCAAACGGGAAGCG